GUAGUCCACAUGCCCAGGGGACGUGAUACUCGGGGAAACUGAGGAUAAACCGCGAUAGGCCAUGCAUUUCUGGAAUUGGUUCAUGGCUGAAAUCUAUAUGGCCCCUGGAUUUGGACUGGGGCCGAUCAGGCUGUUGGUGAGGUAAUGGNCCAACAAACUGUAACCGGUACGGGCUCUGAGAGGAGGAGCCCGGAGAUGGGCACUGAGACAAGGGCCCAGGCCCUAUGGGGCGCAGCAGGCGCGAAAUCUCUGCAAUAGGCGAAAAGCUUGACAGGGUUACUCUGAGUGGUUCCCGUUAAGGGGAUCUUUUGGAACCUUUAACAAAUGGUGCAGAAUAAGGGGUGGGCCAAGUCUGG
rnacentral:rRNA from 1 species